CAGCCAAUGUUUACUGUGACCACAGACGAAAACUUAAACAUCUGACGAUAUUAAAAGUAAAGUUAUUAGGCUACCAUGAUCUUAAUUCAAAUUCCUAUCAAGUCAAGUUCAAAGAUCCUAUCGUCCCAAACAAACAAUGCUAUCACGUCAAUGGCUUAAUCACCGUACUCGUAAAUGAACAUGCGUUUGUCGGUCAACAAAUUAUUGACCCUCUGCGCGCACGCUGGCCGAGCGCCGUAUAUAGUGGAGUGGGAGGCGUGCGCUCGACAAAGUGAACUCAACAUUCGCCGCGAACACACGUACUCGUACAACUUUCAGACAAAAUGUAUACCAACCCAUUCGAGAGAAAGCACUCCUCGCUCCGGCAGGCCCUUGACCGCUUCAUCGGCGAAACCCGGCUCAGCUUCAAAAAGAAAAUCAACAUGGCCAAGUCGAAGAGUUCGUCCAGUGCGUCCUCGGUUUCAUCAUCGUCAUCGUUCUCGUCGUUGCAAUUCAAACCGAAUUCUAACGGGAAGAGGUGAAGGACUGUGUGAUGUGUGUGGUUACCAGUGAUCUCGAAACGAGCGCCACUUUGAAAACAGGCUGAGUGGUGCGACCGGUCGAUUGACGUCAUGGCUGCGCCGACGCCACAGAAAAUGGACACCUACCUCCCGUCAAUUUGGAAGAAUCAUUAAAUAAACGUAUCAUUAAUCGCAUAA